rnacentral:rRNA from 1 species
UACGUAGGUGGCAAGCGUUGUCCGGAUUUACUGGGUGUAAAGGGCGUGCAGCCGGAGAGACAAGUCAGAUGUGAAAUCCACGGGCUCAACCCGUGAACUGCAUUUGAAACUGUUUCCCUUGAGUGUCGGAGAGGUAAUCGGAAUUCCUAGUGUAGCGGUGAAAUGCGUAGAUAUUAGGAAGAACACCAGUGGCGAAGGCGAUUUGCUGGACUGUAACUGACACUGAGGCACGAAAGCGUGGGGAGCAAACAGG